AAUGACGGCAGAAUGACAACCCAAAUUUUGUAACUAUUAAUUCGCUUCAAAAUCAAACAAUAAAAGACCAUAAAU
rnacentral:tRNA from 1 species